GGGCGAAUGGUUUAGUGGUAUAAUACUCCCUUAGCAAGUUUCUUCAGAAAGAUCCUCGCCACCUCUGGGAGUGGUCCAGGGUUCGAUUCCCUGUUCGUCCA
rnacentral:tRNA from 1 species